UUGAAAUACUUCGAAAUAUUUUCAACUCCGUGUAAUAAACGUGCUCCAAAUAGUUUCCAAACAACGUUAAAAGCUGUCGCCACUUUGGGAGAUAAGAAUUUCUGCGCCACAUCGAGAACUGUCAUAUAGACUGUUUUGCAAUACAUAUUGUAAUUUAUUGAACGUUGAAACAGCAAUAGAACUGCCGACAACCAGACUGAUCUCGAUCCCAGACUGCGAAGUAGACGUGCCAGUAAUUACGAUCGUUCGAACUUUGCCGACUUUGCGUGCAUCCUGAGACGUGCUGAAUGAUCGCAUCAUAAAGGUGGCGAAUACACGCUCAAAGUCUCGACUAAUUACAAAGAAGCUCAUUAAAGGCGAAAGCAUGGCUGCAGUAAAUGAGAAUUAUCAACCUGCUACCGCUAAGUAAAAAAAUUGCGCAAUUUUCGCGUAACUCGAAGCAUGAAUUACCGGUAAAUUUCUCGGUCAAACGGACGUCUUUGAAGGAUUGACCUGCAGAACUAUUGCGGUAGGUUUGAUUUAUCGAUUAAUCAAAAAGCAAUUAAUCGAUUCAUCGAUUAAUCGGAGAAAACGAUUAUUCAAAGCUGCCGAUUAAUACAGAUUGAUCGUGAAAGAUCGUAGAAAAGCCGCAGCUUUCGCUGAGCACCAACUGUAAGCGACGAGGUGCUUGACACACGUACCUAAGGGACUAAUAAUCUCAAUAAAAACUAAUGCAAAGAGUAGCUCAUCCUAUUCAACGAUCGAGUCUUGAUAUGGACGACAUGAUCAGGACCCGAUUCAAUUAUGAUAUAACGGAAUUGCGCGACAACGACCCGAUCCAAAAAUAUUAUCGGGCACUGAGAACAUGACCCAACAGCACUUUUAUACAGUGACCAAAGUGGGACAGGAAAUAAACUAUGCACAUGUACAUAACUUAAAAAGAAAAAGAAAAAAAAGAUGAUCAAUUCUACUUGCCACUAUUUGCAAAUAUGUAAGAAGUACUUGAUUUUAUAACACAGAGAGAUCUACAGACUAUUCAAGCUGUUCGCUAGACGAAACGUGUAAGGAAAGUUUACCUAACCUAACCUAACCUAACCUAAGCGAGGAGUACACCGGUUGGCAGGUGUAAUUUACGUCUUAUAUGAACACACACAACAGGGGGAAGGGGGACAAAACAUUAUCGCUGCAAGUUUAAGUAUGAGAAAUAUGCAGCUUAAAGGUUCAGAGGGAUAUUCGCGAGCAUAUACGCGGUUGAUGUUGUUAUGCAACGUUAUCGCUCAAGUCGUUAACCCAAUUGCAAAACGGCAAAGGCAUUAGGCAGCGCGCGUUCAGUUAAAGAAAUAUUACAUGCGGAGAUGUAUGCCUGCGGGUUUUACUUCCGCCUCGAUCAUUAGGUACACCACGAGGAUUACUGGGAUUAUUGAUUACGCGCAGAGAAAGUAAGAGAUGAUGUUGUUUGACGAUCAAAGGAUGGGCUUGUAGUAUUUCAUGUGUUACGGACUUCCGUUGCAGAUUUCAAGGGUUUGAGGACGUUGGAUUACAGAUUUGUACGAAACUUAGUGUGAUCGGAACCGGAGAAUGUUCUUAACAAUAAGAUUUGUCCAAUUUUUUUUCAACUUUUUCCAUUCUCAGUAAUAAAAUUUCGAAAUUUCACGACGAUCUCAAGACAUUCGACGUAUUUCGCGAUCUGAGAUCGAAAAUGAGGUUGAAUUUUUAUUUUGCGAUACUUUUUUCGAAUAAAUUACCUCGAAAAAUUGCAAUCACAUCUCAGCGCGGAAUUUUUGUUUCAUACACACGCCGCGGUGAAUUUCCAUAAGACCGGUGAUCUACACCGUCCUUGGACUAGUGCCUAGGUCGAAUAACCUUGAAAUGAUAAGAUUUAUUCACUAGCGAAUUUUAAAAGCAGCUGUUCACCGCGUGUCGAGUUGUUUUCGUCGAUACUUCGCACGUGUGUAUAUAUUAUAUGUUAUGUGUAUAACAUAUAUAAACUUUGUUGACGGUUAUAAUAAAGCUGAUUAUUGAAUGACCGAAGACCGGGGAUCAGGCCUGUCAUGCGGUAGAGCGACGCACUUUUAAUAAUUCUGAUCAAGACAUCGCGUAUUGUUGGAUCUACGAAAAUUACAUCACCUAUGUAUAGACAAACUCUAUUUUGUGGGAGUAAGAAGUUUCUUCUCUGCAUGCACGAUGUAUAAGGAGACUCUAAUGUGUUGAUGUUGUGUUUACCCUUCUUGAAUCCUUGCUUCCGAUGAGAAACCGAUGUGCAAAUCAUUAAUCUACGAGAGAAUAUUUGUUGAAAGAAUGUAAAUUCGGAAAAUGAUUUUUUUUUUGUACGUAGAUAGCAUAAUCGGGCUGUAAAAACUGUAUUGUGAUUUGAGAUAAAUUAAA
rnacentral:lncRNA from 1 species